UCAACAUUCGGGCUGUCGGUCAACCAAGCAAUUUCAGCCGCUCGGUGGAAGAUCUUCCCUUUGCCGU
rnacentral:pre_miRNA from 1 species